rnacentral:rRNA from 1 species
CAAAAGGCCAAAGGUGGGACGGGGCUCCCCCAAGGGCCCCCCCUGAGGGGGGCUUUCCUUUGGUAUAAUUCCCCUUUGGAAUAGGGAGAGGGCAAGACUGGUGUCAGCCGCCGCGGUAAUACCAGCUCUCCGAGUGGUAGGGAUGAUUAUUGGGCUUAAAGCGUCCGUAGCCGGCUUAGCAAGUUUCCUGUUAAACUCAGCGACUCAAUCGUUGAAUCGCGGGAAAUACUACUAGGCUAGGAGGCGGGAGAGGUCGACGGUACUUCUGGGGUAGGGGUGAAAUCCUAUAAUCCCGGGAGGACCACCAGUGGCGAAGGCUGUCGACUAGAACGCGCUCGACGGUGAGGGACGAAAGCUGGGGGAGCGAACCGGAUUAGAUACCCGGGUAGUCCCAGCCGUAAACGAUGCGAGCUAGGUGUUGGGAUGGCUACGUGCCAUUUCAGUGCCGCAGGGAAGCCAUUAAGCUCGCCGCCUGGGGAGUACGGCCGCAAGGCUGAAACUUAAAGGAAUUGACGGGGGA